ensembl:lncRNA
UGGGGAGCCAGCAAGGGACAGGUUGUGAGUCUUGGUUAACAAGCUAAAACUACUCAGGUGAUGGCUGUACAACAUUAGUUGUGAGCACAAGAUACCCUGUGAGAUACCCUUGUCUGACAGUGCAUUUGGGAGCAGCAGGGAAGGAGCUGGAGGGAAAGCCAUAUCCAAGCACUGGUGUAUCUGAAGCCUUCAGCAGAGUUAUCCAUUACUGGAUCUCACUUUGCAUUCCAGGCUUGCCUGAAGUACAGUUUCUCCCCAGCUAAAGCAUGCAGUCUCAUGGACAGAGGAUGAGGAUUGCAGCAUGUGGAGCUCAUUUGUCCCCAGAUGUCACCACUUCACAGAGGUGGAGGGACUGAGGGGACACCUCGCUGCCUCUCUGGGGCAGACAGCCUUCCUGACCACUGAAGUAAAGCAGCAGGUCUCCCAUGCCCAUCAGAGGAAAAAAGGCUCAAAGACACUACAGCCCAUAGAUGCAAGAAGCAAUGGAUGUCAGCCUCAGAAAAGGCAGCAGAAGAAUAGGAGAAAUGUGGAAAACAAAACCAACCAUACGAGUUUAUGGUGCCUGAAGACUUGUCCUUUACAAUUUACCUCGGUGGAUUGGAAAAUAGGAGAUCUGAUGGAAUGUUCUCCAUCAAAGCCCCAAACUUUUUGUUUCGCAUUUCGGCUCCUGCCAAACUUGACAACUGUCUGCCACAAAACGGAAGUCUCCUACUUUUGGAAGCACACCUCUGGACUUGGAGUCUUCCAUUUCCUUAAGGAAAAAAGCAGCACGCUGGAUGGAAACUAUCCUACUGUCCAUAUAUAUAUAUAUAUAUAAACUUCAAGUUUGCUGUUGAAAAAGAAAAAAUGAUGGAAAAAAAUGGGCUAGUUUUAAUCACUGUUGUUGCUGUUAGCCCACAGCUGCAGGCAAGGCAACAGACUGCAGAGUGGACAGGAAGAAAUGCCCAGCAAAGGCUCUGUGAAAGGAAAACAUAUGCAGAAUAACUAAGGAAUAGCUUCGUUUGCCUUAUUCUGGUGAAGUUCCUUGUUCGGAGUUAAAAGCACUCAGUAUUCAAUGAUUUCUUAAUUUUUAACAAAGGAGACCCAGGGCAGUGUCACAAAUUAGAGGGCAUUCCAGGCCUUUUUUUCUGCAUAUUGUCCCCUCCACGUAAAUCGGGCUCACAUUGCUGAGCAUCAGCGAUACCCAACUCGACACAGAAGGCAGCAGAACUACAGGGCUUCCAGCCAGUUUGGGUUUUGCCCAGAAAGAAAACCAAAGCGAUCUCUCAUCUUCUACCUCUACGUGUGCCUGUUUGCUUUAGGAUGCCAAUUCUGGCACAGCAAAGUAAAUUGUUAGGGUACCUCAUAGCGGCUGGGGGCCGCACCUCACGAGCACAUCCCUAUAAAACGAGAGGCCCUCACAGAACGGAAUUGGGGUCAUGCGGGCUGCCUGCUGCCUCCUCCCAUCGGAACGCUUCCCCCAUCGGAAGGUUUCUAGAGCAGGAAAGAGAGGGGUGAUUUACAAAACAAGUCAAAACUUUCCACUGCACUUUAACUUUCUUUUUUCCUGUGGUGAAAGGCAGACAAUUUUGAUGUUUAUUAUCAGUUUUUCCUAUUGUUAUUGCACGGGCUUAAUGUAACUGCCGUGCUAUAAUAAUAUACAUCUGCUCUUUGAAAUGCACCAGUGAAUGUCAGUUAGGCAGCAUUUCUGCUUCUCAUGGUGUCAGAGUAAUUAACAUCCCUUUCUUCUAAAGUAAGCGAUGAGACGAUACAUUAAAGUCCCCGCAGAACACACCAGAUAGCAUUGAAACUGUAGAAAACACCACAGAGAUGAGGGCUGCCUUUCAGCACAACCCUUUGGAUACACGUUUAAACCCAGGGCAAAACCCUACCAGCACUGUGGGGCCUUGGGCAAGAGUGCUGGGGUGAUGUGCAGGCAGGGACAGCAGGGCAGAGGGAUGGAUGGUGCAGGGCUGCGGCCCCCUCUGGUUUUGGAGCCUGUGAGGCUCACAUGCAUGUAGCAAGAAGAGCACAGUGCCGCAAGCCCUGCCAGCAGCUCCUGGCCAGCCUUGCAGAGAACAAGUCCUGGCACUGGUGCCUCCAGCAGAGGCUCUCCCUGCGGUGAAUCACCCCCCCUGGCUCACAGCACAGCCCAGUACCCUGCCAUGUGGCGCGGGACGGGCUUGCUGAGGCUCUGGGCAGGUGAUGCCUGGGCUGCUUCAAUUUCCUUUUGUCCUCCGAUCCAUUUGUCCACCCUUAGACGCCUGCCUUGCUAUUUUUCUUUGUACAGCACUGAGUUGCAUUAAAUGUUUACGAUCCUAUUACAGGAUACAGUUUUAGAUUACUAUAAUAAAAGGGAGUUGGUAAAACUUCAUUAUCUGUGGUGGCAGAGGAGAAUAAAAUCUUACACCUACAAGUCUGUCCAUAACAUUGCUUGGAACGACUUUCUUAAAUCCAAAGCGCACACACACACACACACACAAACACAACAGAGAAACCAAACUCGCUGUAACUGGCCCCAGUGUCACUGUAUGUCACGAUGCUGGACGUAGGCUGUAUCAAGCACAGGGAGAAAACUAAAGCUACAGUUUCCUUGCCACUGCGUGCAUUAUUUCAGGGCAAUGCCCUUUUGCUUCCUGUGCAACCGUGGUGGGAAGUACGCAGCUAUGGAAGUGUAGCAGCACAGCCUGAGCAAGGACUGACUUAUAUCCAGCUAUGGGAGUAGAGCUCUGCAUUUCCUGUGAUCUUUUCCUUUAAAAAAUAAAUUGCUGGUACUUUAAUCAUUUAUCAGAAGGAAGAGAGUGUUUGUUUCAAAGGCGCAGAAUGAAGGCUUUAAAAUUAUACUCUGCUCAUCCGUGG